GUGAACGCUAGCGGGNAGCCUAACACAUGCAAGCCGAGCGGUAUGGAUAGCUUGCUAUCCAGAGAGCGGCGUACGGGUGCGUAACACGUGUGCAACCUGCCUUUAUCUGGGGGAUAGCCUUUCGAAAGGAAGAUUAAUACCCCAUAAUAUGGUGUCCGGCAUCGGACGCUAUUGAAAGCCUCGGCGGAUAGAGAUGGGCACGCGCAAGAUUAGAUAGUUGGUGGGGUAACGGCCCACCAAGUCGAUGAUCUUUAGGGGUCCUGAGAGGGAGAUCCCCCACACUGGUCCUGAGACACGGACCAGACUCCUACGGGAGGCAGCAGUGAGGAAUAUUGGACAAUGGGUGGAAGCCUGAUCCAGCCAUCCCGCGUGAAGGAUGACGGUCCUAUGGAUUGUAAACUUCUUUUGUACAGGGAUAAACCUGCCCUCGUGAGGGUAGCUGAAGGUACUGUACGAAUAAGCACCGGCUAACUCCGUGCCAGCAGCCGCGGUAAUACGGAGGGUGCGAGCGUUAUCCGGAUUUAUUGGGUUUAAAGGGUCCGUAGGCGGGCCUGUAAGUCCAGUGGUGAAAUCUCAUAGCUUAACUAUGAAACUGCCAUUGAUACUGCAGGCCUUGAGUAAAUUUGAAGUGGCUGGAAUAAGUAGUGGUAGCGGUGAAAUGCAUAGAUAUUACUUAGAACACCGAUUGCGAAGGCAGGUCACUAAGAUUUAACUGACGCUGAUGGACGAAAGCGUGGGGAGCGAACAGGAUUAGAUACCCUGGUAGUCCACGCCGUAAACGAUGCUAACUCGUUUUUGGAUCCUCGGAUUCAGAGACCAAGCGAAAGUGAUAAGUUAGCCACCUGGGGAGUACGUCCGCAAGGAUGAAACUCAAAGGAAUUGACGGGGGCCCGCACAAGCGGUGGAUUAUGUGGUUUAAUUCGAUGAUACGCGAGGAACCUUACCAAGACUUAAAUGGGAAUUGACAGGUCUAGAAAUAGAUCCUCCUUCGGGCAAUUUUCAAGGUGCUGCAUGGUUGUCGUCAGCUCGUGCCGUGAGGUGUUAGGUUAAGUCCUGCAACGAGCGCAACCCCUGCCAACAGUUGCCAUCAUUCAGUUGGGGACUCUGUUGGGACUGCCUACGCAAGUAGAGAGGAAGGUGGGGAUGACGUCAAAUCAUCACGGCCCUUACGUCUUGGGCCACACACGUAAUACAAUGGCCGGUACAGAGGGCAGCUACCUGGUGACAGGAUGCGAAUCUCGAAAGCCGGUUCUCAGUUCGGAUUGGAGUUCUGCAACUCGACUCUAUGAAGCUGGAAUCGCUAGUAAUCGCGCAUCAGCCAUGGCGCGGNNAAUACGUUCCC
rnacentral:rRNA from 1 species